AAUGAAGGAACGGGGGCCGCGACGGUGGGAUCCGUCAAGCGCCUCCCGCGCGCUCGCGACGGUGCCCCGCGCACGGGAGGCGCUUGACGAAUCCCAACGGCGUCGACGAGUGCCAGAAUCACU
rnacentral:precursor_RNA from 13 species